rnacentral:rRNA from 1 species
AUUGAACGCUGGCGGCAUGCCUUACACAUGCAAGUCGAACGGCAGCGCGGGCUUCGGCCUGGCGGCGAGUGGCGAACGGGUGAGUAAUACAUCGGAACGUGCCCUGUUGUGGGGGAUAACUAGUCGAAAGAUUAGCUAAUACCGCAUACGACCUGAGGGUGAAAGCGGGGGACCGUAAGGCCUGGCGCAAUAGGAGCGGCCGAUGUCUGAUUAGCUAGUUGGUGGGGUAAGAGCCUACCAAGGCGACGAUCAGUAGCUGGUCUGAGAGGACGAUCAGCCACACUGGGACUGAGACACGGCCCAGACUCCUACGGGAGGCAGCAGUGGGGAAUCUUGGACAAUGGGGGCAACCCUGAUCCAGCAAUGCCGCGUGUGUGAAGAAGGCCUUCGGGUUGUAAAGCACUUUUGUCCGGAAAGAAAUCCUCUGCCCUAAUACGGCGGGGGGAUGACGGUACCGGAAGAAUAAGCACCGGCUAACUACGUGCCAGCCGCCGCAGUAA